AUGUCUGGUGUUCUGAUCUUCCUUGUGAUUCAAGUCCUUGUACUCUCUUCAACACAUGAUACAGUAUGGGGGCCCUUGAGCAAAUCCUUGGAAGACCUUCUGAAACGGCUUCUUCGUCCAAAAGAGUCCAGCCAAGAAUCUGCUUCUGAGCGGCAAGAAAACUCAUGUCAUGAUGAGAAAGAAAAGAGAAAGAGGCACCAAGCUGGUCUGAACCCGCCUGGUGGUUUCUGGUAUGAUGAUCCCAACCAUGUUGCAGGCAAUCCAGUCCUUCAUGAUAUUCAUCCCUGGCGCUACAGAGCAUUCUUCAUCUUCAAUGGUAUCUCCUUCAUGACAUCUAUUGUCGUGAUCAUGUUUCUGUUGAACAAGUCUGUGAGGAAGAAGGGUGUUCUACUUGAGGUAUUGCAUUUGAUCAUGAUACUAGAUCUGCUAGCUCUUAUGACAGCUUUUGCUGCGGGAAGCUGCCGAAAAUUCAGGACUUCAAUGUAUGUCUAUGGGCUAGUAAUUGCCGUUGCAGUAUACCUUGUGGUUGCAAUAGGUGUAACAAGCAGCAUUGCAAAGUGUCUGAGACUAAGGAAGAGAAAUGGGCGCUCCCUCAAAGGACAUCCUGAAAGUGCUUCCACAACAAACCCGCCGAUCGCUGGACAACAAGUUUGA
rnacentral:rRNA from 1 species